AAAGAAGAAGGGAGAAGCCUUUUCUCCUUGUUCUCUAUAGUCUGUAACCCUCCCUGUUCUCAGUAACUUAAGCACUAGCGACUUGGGGUUGGCGAAUGCCGACUUGGGGUUGGCGACUAACGAAAAGUCAUUUUCCUUUUCUCCUUGUUCUCAGCUAUUAGCGACUUAGGGUUGGCGAAUGCCGACUUAGGGUUGGCGACUGGCAAGAGAAGAGAUUGUGUGGAGAAAAAUCUAGGGUUUCUUUGAAAUUGUAGAACUACAAUGAGGAUUAUCACUACCUGCGGAUUUAGUUAAUCGAGAAACUAUGUGAGAACCCCUCCUGGAGAAGUGAAGUUAAAAGUGAUGAAACAAAUAGGAAAAGAAUGUCAGAUUGACUGAUACACUAUGAUAGGACAGAUGAGUGCAAAGAGUGAUGUUUAUAGCUUUGGAAUUGUCCUACUGGAACUCUUAACUGGGCGGAAGCUUGUUGAUCAUACUCUGUCGUGUGAGUAGCAGAGCCUUGUGACAUGGGCAACUCCAAAACUUAGUGAAGAUAAGGUGAAGCAAUUCGUUGCGCUAAGUUAAGUGGAGAAUAGCCUCCUAAGGCAGUUGCAAAGGUAAUGGUAACUUCGACUGAAAAUAAUACAUCAAAAUCGAGCUUUCUUGGUGGAAGAGCAAAGGAUUGUGAAGAAGGCUUUGAAGAUCUAGAAAGCAAAGGAAAAUCAAGCUUCAAGGAGCUAGAGAGAGGGAGGGUGAAAGAAAAUUUUUUUGGAUUUUGAGAAAUGAAUGAGAAACUGUAAAAGCUUCUUUCUUUGUAUUGAAUUCCCUACUUUUAUUGGGUUUGAAUUGAUAAAAUUACUUAUACAUAUGCACAGUAAUUUUACAA